rnacentral:misc_RNA from 1 species
CUUAGCGGGUGCAAAACAAGACAUCUGUCUACUUUGUCUGUCUGUCAAACUUAUAAUAAUUAAUAAAUAUUAAGUGCAAUAAAAAUGAUGAUGUUCUUUUUAUCCUCCUAGUAGAUUAUACUAGUUCUAUAUAUCUAUAUAUGAAGAUUACUGAUGCUAAAUUGGGGGGAGGGGAAGGCGACUUUCUGAAUAUUAGAAUAUUUUUGGAUACGUUGUAAGUUAUUUUGAAGAAAUAUAUGAAGUAGUGUUUCAUUCCUGCAGUAACUGGGUUAUGCGCAGAUUGAGGUAAUCCAAACUUUCUACAUUGCAUACUGUGCACAGAAAUCAAGAUCCGAUGCGUCAGCAGCGAUGUUAUAUUAGAUUUACACUAGUCGAGAGCACCAACUGGUCAUUCCUUUUAAAAUUUCAAUAACUUAGACGGGUCAACUAUGAAACUCUGUUUAUGCUUGAUAUUCAUCUUCUGUUUUUUCAUAGGUAACCUAGCUUUGACUGCAUGCAUGGCACGUGUGGGAUUUUUAAUACUUAGCCAAGAAAACAGUUAUCAUAAGAAAUUGGCUUUACUGAAAGAGAAAGAUAUAUAUUCUCAAGUGAAGAAUUUAAAUUUGGUUAAUGCUACUGUGUAUAAAACUCACAAGGACCUUGACAUAACUGUAGGACAUUGGGUUAUUUAUUCUCUGUUUGAAAAGAUUUCAAAAUUACCUGAAUUUUCUUGGAUAUUUUUCUUAGAAGAUACUACAGCUAUAGAUAUUGAAAAGCUAAUCAAGGUUUUUGCAAAAUAUAAUUCAUCAGAGGAUGUCUUUGUUGGCUAUGCACUGAGAGAUGCAGAGCCUACUAUAAUACACCACUUUGCAUCUGCUGACAAAGAAACUUCCAUUUUGUAUCCACACACUGCUGCUGGGUUCUUCUUGAGUUUUAGUUUAAUUAAAAGGUUAGCUUCGAGAUUGCCUAUCAAGAAAGAAAACAUGUUUUCUAUUGAUCCAAAGUAUGAGCUAGCAGUCGUAAUUUCGAAUGAAGUUGCUGUGAAAUUGAUUCACGAACCCCAGCUUUGUACCAUCAGAAAGGAGUCUUGUGCAACAUGGAUUCAGUGGGAAUUCCCAAACUGUGGUCAGGAAGUUUCUUCAGAAAAAGUGCAUGUGGCUGUAAAGACAUGUCACAAAUUUCAUGCAGACAGAGUGAAAAUUAUGAAAAGUACUUGGGCACCUGAUGUUGAUCAUCUCAACAUAUUCAGUGAUGUGAAUGAUGAUUCUAUUCCCACAAUACAGUUGAAUGUUAAAAAUGUCCCAAAUGGCCACUGCGAGAAAACAUUAGCUAUCAUGAGAUUUUACAUAGUGAACAGGGUGCCUUUUAAAUGGUUGGUCAUUGUCGAUGAUGAUACGCUACUGAACUUUCAUAGGCUGAAGAAGUUAUUAACUUGCUACCACCCUUCUGAAAAGGUGGCUCUGGGUGAAAGAUAUGGUUAUAGUGUAACAAAUGGUUUAGGUUAUGAUUACCUCACUGGAGGUGCAGGAUACAAAAUUGGGCUCAGCAAUAUGGCAACCAACAUCACUGACCACUCUGCUGGGGGGUCAAGAUCCUGCCUGUCAUCAUCUUGCCAAGGCCUUGUACAUCUUGUUGAUGAUAGUAUUGCUGUGCCUUUCUGUGUCCCAUUGUUCAUGGAGAACAUCCUGGAAGAUGCAAUCAAAGAAUCUUCUACUUCUCUUCCCCAAUAUUUAAAACAUCAACAAGUCGUGCAUCAACAUCAAAAUGGUUUUCUCAGCACCCACUGUUAAAAAAUUGAUUGAAACUUGUCAGUGUCCAUCCAUUGAUUCUCCAGAUGAUAUGAUUAUAGGCAUAUGCUUAAAAAAAUUAAAUAUUCCUGUCAUUCAUUCUUCACAUUUUCAUCAAGGUCGUCCCAUUGAUUAUUCUGUGGAUUUUCUCCAACCUCAGAAGCAUGUAUCAUUUCAUAAGCAUUGGAUGGUAAAUCCAUACGAUAUUUAUAAUGACUGGCUUCAAGAAAGGUUGAAUAAAGAGCAGCAUAUGG